CAACUGCAAAGCCUCUAGGACUCCACAAUCACUGAAGCACUGUUUCAGAUAAACAUUGAAGAUCACUGGAUCACAGAACUCAUUGGGUUGAAAGGGACAUAAAGAUCAUCCAGUCUCAACCUCCCUUUCGUAGACACAGUUGCCACGCACCAGCUUAGGCUGCCCAGGGCCCNAUUGCUGGAUACAUCUCAGCCUGGUGAUUUCUUCAUGCAACCUGGCCACCUGCUCAGAAAGUUCACCGAGCUGGGCACACUUGCACUAAUGAUACCACCUCUGCCCUAAGGCUGUAGGGGCACUUCCAGAUUCUGGAGUUCCUUGCAGUGUAAGUUCUGGGCAGCUCUCUUGCUCCUCUGGAGUUCUGCUUGUGUCCAUGCAUCUGAACAGGAUGGUUAUGGCCCUCCAGUUUGAGUUUCUGCUUCAGCCUCUGACUACAGGGGGUGGUCACCAUAUUGAUUCAAUAGAAAGCUGUUUUCCUGCAGCUCCCAGAAGAGACAAAGCAGCAGCCUGGUGCCCUCCCAGUGUACCCUUCCUGCGCUCCCUCCCUGCCUGCACUCUCACCUACUGCUGCCCACAUCCUUACUGCCAUUCCAGUCCUCUUUGCUUGCUCUGUUCCCAUACUGCCAGUCACUCGCUCCCUGCAAGCUGCCUAAAUACAUGUGGGGGUGUCUCACCACUGCUCCUGGCCCCAUUCAUACCUCCUCAGCUGCUCUCAUGAGGACUUGUAGGAAUGGAGUGUUGUUUCUGCAUUAGAUAUUGAAAAGGGGGAACUGAUCUGAAGAAGUAGAGCACAAUAUAUUUGUAUUUUGUAACUUGCACUUAGAAAUGGCUGAUGUGAGAAAGCAGAAAUACCAUUUAUGUUAGUAGCAUGUUUUAGAAAUAUAGUUGCUGAAUUAUGUGAUUAAUUCUUGCUUGCAAAACUGCAAUAGUUUUUAAGUGUUGCAGAAAGUAUGGGUAUAGUAUUAUGGACUAGAAAGCAUAUUGUAAAGCUAUUCUGUUUGGAUAAGCAGCAAAAGAAAAACAGACUUAACAAACAUCGAAGAAGCCAGGGCCUCCAGACAAGGCUGGAUUGCCUUGCUUUGUGGAACCAACUUAACCAGGACGAUCUGCAGCCUCUUGCCCACUUGGGCGAGACCUCUCUGGGUAGACAUAAUCUCCUCUCUGCCAGUUGCGGAUGCAAGCUAAAGGAAAUGAAGACAGCUAUAGGUGUCAGGUCUGAAGCUGAAAUACCAGAAGGAAAACCUGCUAACAACGCUACCAUGAUCCAGCACAACCAGAAAGACAAAAGGGUGAGAUCCCACCAACAAAACUACAGCUGAAGGAGAUUUUCUUGUGCUUUGUGACUAAGUGCAUUUGCAAUAGUUCCACUGCCAGACUGCUGGAAAUCUGAUUUUCUGCUUGUUUGUUUUCUGCACAAACUGCUUGUUUGUUUUUCUUUUUGCACUUCUGCAAGCCUGUACAAUAAAAGGAUGUUCAGCCUAUUUAGUUUUCUGGUUGUGACAUUCUAGCAGACUUCUGCAAUGUGGUAAACUGAUACUGAAACAGCCCCAUUUUUAC
ensembl:lncRNA